rnacentral:rRNA from 1 species
AGCGUACACGGUGGAUGCCCUGGCAGUCAGAGGCGAUGAAGGACGUGCUAAUCUGCGAUAAGCGUCGGUAAGGUGAUAUGAACCGUUAUAACCGGCGAUUUCCGAAUGGGGAAACCCAGUGUGAUUCGUCACACUAUCAUUAACUGAAUCCAUAGGUUAAUGAGGCGAACCGGGGGAACUGAAACAUCUAAGUACCCCGAGGAAAAGAAAUCAACCGAGAUUCCCCCAGUAGCGGCGAGCGAACGGGGAGCAGCCCAGAGCCUGAAUCAGUGUGUGUGUUAGUGGAAGCGUCUGGAAAGGCGCGCGAUACAGGGUGACAGCCCCGUACACAAAAAUGCACAUACUGUGAGCUCGAUGAGUAGGGCGGGACACGUGGUAUCCUGUCUGAAUAUGGGGGGACCAUCCUCCAAGGCUAAAUACUCCUGACUGACCGAUAGUGAACCAGUACCGUGAGGGAAAGGCGAAAAGAACCCCGGCGAGGGGAGUGAAAAAGAACCUGAAACCGUGUACGUACAAGCAGUGGGAGCACAGAGCAAUCUGUGUGACUGCGUACCUUUUGUAUAAUGGGUCAGCGACUUAUAUUCUGUAGCAAGGUUAACCGAAUAGGGGAGCCGAAGGGAAACCGAGUCUUAACGGGCGUUAAGUUGCAGGGUAUAGACCCGAAACCCGGUGAUCUAGCCAUGGGCAGGUUGAAGGUUGGGUAACACUAACUGGAGGACCGAACCGACUAAUGUUGAAAAAUUAGCGGAUGACUUGUGGCUGGGGGUGAAAGGCCAAUCAAACCGGGAGAUAGCUGGUUCUCCCCGAAAGCUAUUUAGGUAGCGCCUCGUGAAUUCAUCUCCGGGGGUAGAGCACUGUUUCGGCAAGGGGGUCAUCCCGACUUACCAACCCGAUGCAAACUGCGAAUACCGGAGAAUGUUAUCACGGGAGACACACGGCGGGUGCUAACGUCCGUCGUGAAGAGGGAAACAACCCAGACCGCCAGCUAAGGUCCCAAAGUCAUGGUUAAGUGGGAAACGAUGUGGGAAGGCCCAGACAGCCAGGAUGUUGGCUUAGAAGCAGCCAUCAUUUAAAGAAAGCGUAAUAGCUCACUGGUCGAGUCGGCCUGCGCGGAAGAUGUAACGGGGCUAAACCAUGCACCGAAGCUGCGGCAGCGACACUGUGUGUUGUUGGGUAGGGGAGCGUUCUGUAAGCCUGUGAAGGUGUCUGUGAGGAUGCUGGAGGUAUCAGAAGUGCGAAUGCUGACAUAAGUAACGAUAAAGCGGGUGAAAAGCCCGCUCGCCGGAAGACCAAGGGUUCCUGUCCAACGUUAAUCGGGGCAGGGUGAGUCGACCCCUAAGGCGAGGCCGAAAGGCGUAGUCGAUGGGAAACAGGUUAAUAUUCCUGUACUUGGUGUUACUGCGAAGGGGGGACGGAGAAGGCUAUGUUGGCCGGGCGACGGUUGUCCCGGUUUAAGCGUGUAGGCUGGUUUUCCAGGCAAAUCCGGAAAAUCAAGGCUGAGGCGUGAUGACGAGGCACUACGGUGCUGAAGCAACAAAUGCCCUGCUUCCAGGAAAAGCCUCUAAGCAUCAGGUAACAUCAAAUCGUACCCCAAACCGACACAGGUGGUCAGGUAGAGAAUACCAAGGCGCUUGAGAGAACUCGGGUGAAGGAACUAGGCAAAAUGGUGCCGUAACUUCGGGAGAAGGCACGCUGAUAUGUAGGUGAAGUCCCUCGCGGAUGGAGCUGAAAUCAGUCGAAGAUACCAGCUGGCUGCAACUGUUUAUUAAAAACACAGCACUGUGCAAACACGAAAGUGGACGUAUAACGGUGUGACGCCUGCCCGGUGCCGGAAGGUUAAUUGAUGGGGUCAGCGCAAGCGAAGCUCUUGAUCGAAGCCCCGGUAAACGGCGGCCGUAACUAUAACGGUCCUAAGGUAGCGAAAUUCCUUGUCGGGUAAGUUCCGACCUGCACGAAUGGCGUAAUGAUGGCCAGGCUGUCUCCACCCGAGACUCAGUGAAAUUGAACUCGCUGUGAAGAUGCAGUGUACCCGCGGCAAGACGGAAAGACCCCGUGAACCUUUACUAUAGCUUGACACUGAACAUUGAGCCUUGAUGUGUAGGAUAGGUGGGAGGCUUUGAAGUGUGGACGCCAGUCUGCAUGGAGCCGACCUUGAAAUACCACCCUUUAAUGUUUGAUGUUCUAACGUGGACCCGUGAUCCGGGUUGCGGACAGUGUCUGGUGGGUAGUUUGACUGGGGCGGUCUCCUCCUAAAGAGUAACGGAGGAGCACGAAGGUUGGCUAAUCCUGGUCGGACAUCAGGAGGUUAGUGCAAUGGCAUAAGCCAGCUUGACUGCGAGCGUGACGGCGCGAGCAGGUGCGAAAGCAGGUCAUAGUGAUCCGGUGGUUCUGAAUGGAAGGGCCAUCGCUCAACGGAUAAAAGGUACUCCGGGGAUAACAGGCUGAUACCGCCCAAGAGUUCAUAUCGACGGCGGUGUUUGGCACCUCGAUGUCGGCUCAUCACAUCCUGGGGCUGAAGUAGGUCCCAAGGGUAUGGCUGUUCGCCAUUUAAAGUGGUACGCGAGCUGGGUUUAGAACGUCGUGAGACAGUUCGGUCCCUAUCUGCCGUGGGCGCUGGAGAACUGAGGGGGGCUGCUCCUAGUACGAGAGGACCGGAGUGGACGCAUCACUGGUGUUCGGGUUGUCAUG